CUUGUCCUUCCCAUUCUGCUGCUGCUGCCACUGUUGGGAAGACCUUUGACCCUGCUGACUGGUCUGUGCUCUCAUCCCCCAGGUCACAGUCACAGAUGUUGGGGCCUAGGCUUCCUUGGCCCUGCUUUCCCAGGAGGCCAUGCUCAGAGCCCAGCCCAUGGUCACACUUGGAGGACUGGACAGCAUCCUGGAACAGACCUGAGAGUUCCAGCAUGGACACAGCAGUUGCUGUGGGGGCUGGUCUGGCCCACAGGGACAGCUAUGUUGGGGAAGAAAC